GGGGAUAUAGCUCAGUUGGUAGAGUGCUUGACUUGCAUGCACAAGACCCUGGGUUCAAUCCCCAGCACCA
rnacentral:tRNA from 1 species